rnacentral:rRNA from 1 species
GACGAACGCUGGCGGCGUGCUUAACACAUGCAAGUCGAACGGAAAGGCCCUGCUUUUGUGGGGUGCUCGAGUGGCGAACGGGUGAGUAACACGUGAGUAACCUGCCCUUGACUUUGGGAUAACUUCAGGAAACUGGGGCUAAUACCGGAUAGGAGCUCCUGCUGCAUGGUGGGGGUUGGAAAGUUUCGGCGGUUGGGGAUGGACUCGCGGCUUAUCAGCUUGUUGGUGGGGUAGUGGCUUACCAAGGCUUUGACGGGUAGCCGGCCUGAGAGGGUGACCGGCCACAAUGGGACUGAGGUACGGCCCAGACUCCUACGGGAGGCAGCAGUGGGGAAUAUUGCACAGUGGGCGGAAGCCUGAUGCAGCAACGCCGCGUGCGGGAUGACGGCCUUCGGGUUGUAAACCGCUUUCGCCUGUGACGAAGCGUGAGUGACGGUAAUGGGUAAAGAAGCACCGGCUAACUACGUG